rnacentral:lncRNA from 1 species
GGGAGAACUAAAUGGAGGAGGGGGACAUCCGUGGGGUUGUACAAAUACACACAGCUGUCAUAACUCAGGCCGUAUAUCUAUGAUCUGGGUGUUCUGUAAUAAUGCCUCAGUUUAAACGAAAAGGUGGAAGCAGGUGUAGAAAGGGCAGGAAAACGGGAGUGUGCAAUGUGGGCAGAGCCAUGGAGGCAAAGGACAGUGGCCGCCUCCAGCAUCAGCAGCUGUGGAGUCAGCAGAAACCAACCCCUCCACUCAAGGGACAAGAGGAUCCACAUCUUAGCUUGUUAGCAUCUUAGGUGGAUCUCAAACGUCUUGUGAUGAGAAUCAUCCACCCCAGGUCGCCUGAGUCAGGACUUCUGCAGGUGCAGCCUGGACAUCCCAGGUAAUUUUAAAGCUUCCCAGGUAAUUUGAUGUGCAGUAGGCAUCAAAAACCUCUAAUCCUGAUCAGUGACACAGAGGGUACAUCCUGGCCUAUCUGAUCCUCAGAAGCACUUUAGAGCUUCCUAAAACUGCAUUUCAGGAGGCCCAGGGCAGGGUCUGUGUUUGUCUCCUGCAGCUGCCAAAACGACCAACCACAACCUGGCUUACAAGAAGAGGUUUAUUGCUCGCGGCUCUGCAGCACAAAAGUCUGAGAGCAAGGUGUCCGCAGGGCAGCGCUUGCUCUGCAGGUUCUAGGGAAGAGUCCCUCCCGCCUCUGCAGCUUCAGGUGCCUCCCUGCAACCUCUGCCUCCCUCCCUCGCUGCAGAGCCUUCUUCUCUCUGGGUGUGUCUCCAUCACCUCUCUUCUAAGGACAACUGUCAUUGGAUUUAGGGUUCACCCUGGUAGUACAGGAUGACCCAUCUCAAGAUCAUCCAUUUAAUUACAUCUCAAAAGACCCUUUCCAAAUAAGGUCACAUUCACAGGGUCUGGAUAUUAGGACAUGGACAUAUGGGGAGGGAGCACCCUUUAAUCCAUGACGGCCCAAGAGUUUAACAUUUUUAGUGAAUUCCUCGAGUCACAUGGUGAUUGGGAACAGCUGGCCAGGAGGACACCUCCACGCUCGGAUCUUAUGUCUUCAGCCACCACUUUGUUCUCCGAGGGUUUCCUGCUGCUGGUCCCGGCUCUCUAAUUCUGCUGUCCUUUUUCUGGGGACAAGGGCCUUUGUAAGGAUUCAGUAAACAUGCAGCGGUGAGAAUGGGAAAGAUGCCUCGCAGGACUGCCGGCGAGCAGCUCCUUCUCCAGAGCCCCCGCUGCACGGCCGCUCUCCCUCGCAGCCUCGCCUCUCAGGGGUGCGCCCAUCUGUUCACACGACAUCUGUGGUAAUUUAAUAAACGUGGGCACACAGAAGGCGGCUCCGCUUUGGGAAGACAUUUAACCUGCUGCAGAGGUAAAUUAUUUGACUCUACCCGGUGAGAGCGAAGAAAGAUGUCCUUAAUGCAGCUUCUGCUGGGCUCCGUGUGUGCCCGAGGACAGUGGCCAGUGAAGGUGACAGCAAGGUUUAGCUGUCUCUAGCUCAGCCUCUACUGUGCUCUGAGUGUGGAAAAGCCAUUGCGAGUUAAGUGCUGAGAAUAGAGUGGGCUAUAACUAACAAAGUACUACAAAUAACCUUGCCAUUGGCAGAGCCAUUUCUUUUUUUCCUCCUGAAAACCAUAAAGGCAGAGAUGAUGAUAUUCAUGAGUAUGGUGCUCUGUGAUAUCUGAUGAGACAUUAGGAGCCUUGGUUAGGAGGAACCGAAGGGGUUCGUCAGUCUGUUACAGCUGCAGUCACUGCCUGCUCAAGGUUGAAAGUGCAGAUAAUUUCCUACUCAAAAUAUAAUUUGGGUCUCUGUUCACCUUAAUGCCCCUUACAGAGGCUGCUAUGAACUCCCUUUGACAUCAUUGCCCGAGAGAAAUCUCAGAUGUGAUUUUUCUGCUUACCUGAAAUGGGCUUUGGAACAGUCUUUGGUUCUUUACAGAAAUUAUGACAUGAAGAAGUAUUCAUAGGAAGUCAGAGUUCAUUACAAUUUAUAGGAGACCAGCCUUCAAAUUUGAACGUAUUUUCAGAACAAAAAGGAAGAUAAAUUGUUUAGUGUACUUAAAGGGUUUAGCUUAAUUAGAGUCUGUCUUUGGGACAAAAUCAUUUCCGUGGCAAAAAGGAAAUAAAUCCCUAGCUCUGAAGCAUUUUUUAAAUAUCUCAUUCAAAUACUUUGUUUGAAAUUAUAUUGAGCAGAACUAUUUGGGGAAGUAGUAAAGCUACUCUGUAUGUCUGUUUUAAAACCUUGUCUUAGAGUUUUACUACGUUUUAAAAGUUAUGAUCCGGAUUUGUCACUGAAGGGAGAAAUCGUUUCUUUAUUCUAUGAAAUCUUUUCUCAUACAGUGUACUCUGCAUGUAACUUUUAUUAUCAUUAUCAGCCCUCCACCUUUAUUCAUUAUUAUGAUUUUCCUUAUCAGAGUCCUUUCUCGUCUUUCCCUCUGAUUGCUUCCCAUGUGAGAGAACAUCAGCUACCCCGUCUCUGAAGUACGGCACAGCCAGAGGUCAGAUGGCCUCUUCUGACUUCACUGCCCAGGGUGCUGGACAUGAGACCAUGAGGGCUAAGCUGACCAGGAAGCAGAGGGAGGAAGGUGUCACCUCCACGCAGCUUUUCUUCUAGGCAUGGUUGCAGGAACGUUGUAGAAAUUAUUAGGUAACCUACAUUUCCACUCUAUAGGGAAAGAAGUCUUCUGAGAAAUCUUUUUUUUU